rnacentral:lncRNA from 1 species
AAGUAUAGGAAAAUAUACAGAUAUACACGGUGGUAGUAUCAAAUCAGCAGCAAGGAAAUACAAGGCUCACACAAAUUCAAAGGAAUACUCCCGAAACAAAACUAUACUCAAUUAGGGGGCAAACACCACCGGACUCAACACCCACCGCCCCAAAUACAGUUUCCCAGCCAAUAACCCAAUCCAAAGCAGUGUAAGAAACGACCACAGCGACAGCAACAACAGACAACAGACAAUGUCCACAAAUUCCACCCAAGUCAAGGUACAGGGGCUACUACUAGCAUAAUACUAAGAAUGGAAUAUGAAAUAACGAAAAUAACAAAGGUUAGAAGUCACCG